GUGUAAGAGGAGCAGGCACCAGUGCAGCCAGCAGAAGAGGCAGCUGUGGGGCUCUGCAAGCUUCCUGCAGUGUCUGGAAGUACAGAGACUGUAGCUGAGGGAAAGUGAGGAGCUCUCUGCCCAGGAGCACGGCUUGGCCAGAGGACCCACGGUGGCGGGCAGGGGGCGGCACACAGGAAGGGCUUACCUUGCAGAGCCUGCAGGAGCUGUCUCCAGUGCUGGAAGGAAGGAAGAUGCUCCAAUCUGCUGCGGUGCCCAGCUCUGCCAGCCUGCAGCAGCACAAGCAGGAGUCUGAGCUGGGAUUCAUCUUAACUCUUUGCAUCUGGGGACCUUUCUUCCUACCAACGUAAGGAACACUUGCAGUAGAG